rnacentral:tRNA from 1 species
GCCUCAUUAGCUCAGUCUGGAGAGAGCUGCUCCCUUCUAAGGAGAUGGUCGCGAGUUCGAAUCUUGCAUGAGGCG